GAUGAACGCUAGCGGCAGGCUUAAUACAUGCAAGUCGAGGGGCAGCAGGUUUGUAGCAAUACAGAUGCUGGCGACCGGCAAACGGGUGCGGAACACGUACACAACCUUCCUUUAAGUGGGGAAUAGCCCAGAGAAAUUUGGAUUAAUACCCCGUAACAUUAUGAUGUGGCAUCACAUUAUAAUAUAGCUCCGCGCUAAUGAUGGUGUGCGGCUGANAGAUAGUUGGCGGGGUAACGGCCCACCAAGUCUGCGAUCAGUAACUGGUGUGAGAGCACGA
rnacentral:rRNA from 1 species